rnacentral:rRNA from 1 species
UACGUAGGGGGCAAGCGUUGUCCGGAAUCAUUGGGCGUAAAGCGCGCGUAGGCGGCUCGAUCAGUCUGCUGUGAAAGUCAAAGGCUCAACCUUUGAAUGCCGGUGGAUACUGUCGAGCUAGAGUCCGGAAGAGGCGAGUGGAAUUCCUGGUGUAGCGGUGGAAUGCGCAGAUAUCAGGAGGAACACCAACGGCGAAGGCAGCUCGCUGGGACGGUACUGACGCUAAGGCGCGAAAGCGCGGGGAGCGAACGGG